rnacentral:rRNA from 1 species
AGAGUUUGAUCAUGGCUCAGGAUGAACGCUAGCGGGAGGCCUAACACAUGCAAGCCGAGCGGUAUUGUUUCUUCGGAAAUGAGAGAGCGGCGUACGGGUGCGGAACACGUGUGCAACCUGCCUUUAUCUGGGGGAUAGCCUUUCGAAAGGAAGAUUAAUACUCCAUAAUAUAUUGAACGGCAUCGUUUGAUAUUGAAAGCUCCGGCGGAUAGAGAUGGGCACGCGCAAGAUUAGCUAGUUGGUGAGGUAACGGCUCACCAAGGCGAUGAUCUUUAGGGGGCCUGAGAGGGUGAUCCCCCACACUGGUACUGAGACACGGACCAGACUCCUACGGGAGGCAGCAGUGAGGAAUAUUGGUCAAUGGGUGCAAGCCUGAACCAGCCAUCCCGCGUGAAGGACGACUGCCCUAUGGGUUGUAAACUUCUUUUGUAUAGGGAUAAACCUACCCUCGUGAGGGUAGCUGAAGGUACUAUACGAAUAAGCACCGGCUAACUCCGUG